rnacentral:lncRNA from 1 species
UUUGUUUUAUUUUUCUAUGGUUUGAUUUACAAGUGUGGGUUGAAACAACGACCAAAAUAUCUAUCUUAAACCAAUGUCGCGUUUAGGAAAGUAAUCAAUUAUCAAUCGUAAGGACUCACACGAAGUCUUGUUUUGGGAGAAACCAAAACCAGUGAUCACUCCCAAGUGAACACACAAUUGAGAUUAUUAUUUGAUUUCCAACAUCUCUACAGCAGUUAUUUUUUCUGUUUUUACCUUGUAUUAGAUUCAUGCUUCAUAUAAAUUUAACCCAUCUCAUAACUCAUCUUUGUAGCUUCAAGAAAAUAAACUCCUUCUUCCCGUCGAUGUAGGCCAUAGUUUGCCCAACCACGUACAUCUUUGUCUUCCUCUUCUUCUUCCCUUUUACAUUUCUGCCUUUGCUGUGUAAUUUCUUCUUCUUUUUCUUGCUGAAAAUCGCCAUGGAAGAUUGAAGGUUUUAGUCUACCAAACAAACAAAGAGAAAGAGAACAACUUUACCCGUGUGCUGUAAACAUAAAAUAAAGAAAGAAGAAAAGAGAGAGGGUGUAAACGUGUGAGGAGUAGCAUAGGGCAGAGACGUGACUUUUUCUCUUUGUUACAUGGGAGUAUUAUUGAGGGAGAGUGCGAUAGAAGUGUUUCAUAUUAACUAAGAAAGAAUCGAGAGACAUAUUUUCAUCGACAUGCAACCAAUCUUUGAAGUGAAAUUAAAGUUAAAUCAUAAAAUACUUAUGCUAGGAGUUAACAAAAAAGAAAGAGAGAUCUAACCAAUUUGUUUGUUUCUUCUUCUUUUUCUUUCCAUGGAGUAUUAUCGCAGAAAGGAGAUGAGAA